UGAUAACUGGCAUCUUUAAAAUAUUUUAUAAGAUGCAGAUAAUUGCAUAAAAUAAUAGGAUAUAAAGAGGAGCCACUUUGAUGUAUAGGAAAUAGUGGCUCAUAUUAUUUAAAAGACAUUGUCUCGAAAGGCUAAGGCGCUGCGCCAUCAAAAGUUACUAUAGGGAUUGAUUUUGCUACAUGUUACUCAAUUUUAAUGAUUGCCAAGCUCCGGGUGGUGUUAUGUCGCCACUCCAGAGUAUACAAGCUGACCAAACUUGGCCAACUCGGCCAGCCUUCUCUCUCGGCCCUUCGUUCGCGGUGUUGCAGAAUAACUGGAAAUUAACAGAGAAAGGCAGUGUCAAACAAUUAGUUCAAAAUUUCAGAGAAAAAACAAUAUAUAACAUGCAAAUCAAGAUCAAGCCGAUCCUCAUUGUAGCGGAGAACUGCCGCUACAAGAACCACUAGGAUCAGCUCGGUCGCAGCACCGUCAACCGAUCGCGCCGCAAAUUUCUUGCAACGUGUCCACUACACUAACUAUAUUUCAGACUAAUUUCAGUCCUAGUUACGGUGAAAAGCAUUCGAA
rnacentral:lncRNA from 1 species